UUUUGUUAGUUUUUUAUAUUUUAUCUUGAAUUUAUCAUGUAGCUUUUUUUGUGAUUAUAUUUUCAUUGAAUUUUCACAAAACACAAACAGAAACAACAAACACAGUCAACACAAAUGCAGCAGGUCAAGCCACCUACCCACACCAACAGCUCGUAGUCAUCCCCUCAAAAUAGC